UUGAAUUUCACAGCUAGCAAGUCUUCUGUUUAUUCACAGGACAGGUACAGCGCUAUCCAGAGCAAUGAAAGCUUUACCCACACUGCCAUGCCAAUCUGCCUCCACCUUCACCUGGAAGGACACCUGCCUUGGUGGGAUGGCGGAGUUGUUUAGCCUUCAUAUCCAUCCACUCAGUGCU
rnacentral:sRNA from 1 species